CAGAGGGGGCAAGCGUUAUUCGGAAUUAUUGGGCGUAAAGGGCGCGUAGGCGGCUUUGCAAGUGACGGGUGAAAGCCCUCGGCUUAACCGAGGAACUGCCUGUCAGACUGUGAGGCUUGAGACCGGGAGAGGUGAGUGGAAUUCCCAGUGUAGCGGUGAAAUGCGUAGAUAUUGGGAGGAACACCAGUGGCGAAGGCGGCUCACUGGACCGGAACUGACGCUGAGGCGCGAAAGCGUGGGGAGCAAACAGGAUUAGAUACCCUGGUAGUCCACGCCGUAAACGAUGAGUGCUUGGUGUAGCGGGUAUCGACCCCUGCUGUGCCGAAGUCAACACAUUAAGCACUCCGCCUGGGGAGUACGGUCGCAAGACUG
rnacentral:rRNA from 1 species